AACGCACCUUGCGCCCCUUGGUAUUCCGAGGGGCACACCCGUUUGAGUGUCGUGAAAAUCUCAACCUUCUCGGUUUCUUCUGGAAACCAAGGGAGGCUUGGACUUUGGAGGCCUUUGCUGGUGUCUCUCUCUUUUGAGAGCCCAGCUCCUCUUAAAUGAAUUAGCGGGGUCCUCUUUGCUGGUCCUCGACAUGUGAUAAGAUGUUUCCAUGUCUUGGUUUCUGGCUCUGUUGCUUUUGGGACCCGCUUCUAACCGUCUCGACGAGACAACGUUUGAGCACGUCUCCCGACGCUCUCAACCUCACGAACCCUUGACCUCAAAUCGGGUGAGACUACCCGCUGAACUUAA
rnacentral:misc_RNA from 1 species